CGUGCAGGUGGUCUUUUAAGUUUCGUGUGAAAGCCCUCGGCUCAACCGAGGAACGGCACGGAAAACUGGAGGACUCGAGUACGGGAGAAGAGGGCGGAAUUCCCAGUGUAGAGGUGAAAUUCGUAGAUAUUGGGAGGAACACCGGUGGCGAAAGCGGCUCUCUAGACCGAUACUGACACUCAUACGCGAGAGCGUGGGUAGGCAAAACA
rnacentral:rRNA from 1 species